rnacentral:rRNA from 1 species
UGGCUCAGAUUGAACGCUGGCGGCAUGCCUUACACAUGCAAGUCGAACGGCAGCACGGGUGCUUGCACCUGGUGGCGAGUGGCGAACGGGUGAGUAAUACAUCGGAACAUGUCCUGUAGUGGGGGAUAGCCCGGCGAAAGCCGGAUUAAUACCGCAUACGAUCUACGGAUGAAAGCGGGGGACCUUCGGGCCUCGCGCUAUAGGGUUGGCCGAUGGCUGAUUAGCUAGUUGGUGGGGUAAAGGCCUACCAAGGCGACGAUCAGUAGCUGGUCUGAGAGGACGACCAGCCACACUGGGACUGAGACACGGCCCAGACUCCUACGGGAGGCAGCAGUGGGGAAUUUUGGACAAUGGGCGAAAGCCUGAUCCAGCAAUGCCGCGUGUGUGAAGAAGGCCUUCGGGUUGUAAAGCACUUUUGUCCGGAAAGAAAUCCUUGGCUCUAAUACAGUCGGGGGAUGACGGUACCGAAGAA